rnacentral:lncRNA from 1 species
CGACUCUCCCACAAAAAAAAAAUUUAAUUUUUAAAAGCCCAAAACAUAGUCAAGAGUGAAGUUUUGCGUUUCGUAACUAGAUAGCUGUGAGAUAGUUUUCUCGUUUGAAGAUGCUUGCGGAACUACGUUCAUAUCCCGGUAUGAUGAACUCACUUAAAAUGUAUAGUCAACACACUCUCUCUGAAUAUAGUGACUUUAUAGGUCACGAAAAGACAAAACACAAAAUUAGGCGCAUUUGUUAAAGAACCUAAGCCUAAGAAGAAACAAGUACAAACUUAGGGUUAAAUAGAGGACCAGAUCAACUGUUAUACUAGUUUUGGAACCGAAAAUAGAACUCCCAGUCUUGUUCUCCUGGACCUUGGGAGGUUUAAAAAUCGUGGUCACCUACUGUCGCGGACGGAUUCACCUUCAGGCAAGGAGGGUCAGCUGACCCUCCCAAGCUCAGAAAUCUUCUAUGGAAGAACUAGGUGCUGUUAACCUAUAUCAGAUGAUUAACAUAUACUGUAAUCUUGUAUACUGAAUCAAGAACAGAGAAGAAAGAAAGAGAGACUCGAGAGAAGUUUAGGAAGAGAAGAACUAUAUGUUGUAUUUCUUACUGAUUAAGUAAUUACAUGAUGAGUUCUUAUAUAUAUACUAUUACAUAUAACAGCUAACUAACUAACUAUACUAGGAUUGUGACAAGUGUCACAAUAUUAAAACACUAUACUCUAACAUCCCCCCUCAAGAACAUGCGGUGAUGAACCAAGCAUGAGAUUGCGGCAAUGAGUUCGGAAAAGAGGACCACUCAAGCCCUUGGUAAGAAUAUCGGCAAACUGCUCUUGAGAAGAUAUACAAAUUGCACGGAUAGUUGUUUCUGUGAGACCCUUUCGCGAACAAAAUGGACGUCGACUUCGAUGUGCUUGGUCUUUUGAUGCUGGACAGGGUUGAAAGACAAGGCAAUGGCUGACAGAUUGUCACAAAAGAGGACAGGCACACUAGGUAAGGGAAUGUGCAGAAAAACUAACAACUGUUUGAUCCAAUCCAACUCAGCAGAUGUAAACGAUAAAGCUCGGUACUCAGCUUCGGUUGAGGAUCGAGAAACAGUUUGUUGCUUCUUAGAGGACCAGGAAAUCGGACUAUUACCCAAAAAGACCACCAAACCAGUAGUAGAUCGCCUGUCAUUUAGGGUCCCCUGCCCAAUCAGCAGCAUCACUAAACGCCUUCAACUGCAAAUCUCCUUUAGUAUAUGAUAUACCAAACUGCAUUGUGCCCUUCAGAUAUCUUAAAAUGCGUUUAACCGCAGUAAAGUGGGACACCAUUGGAUUCUGCAUGAACUGACACACUUGGUGCACAGAAAAAGCAAUGUCAGGCCGUGUGAAAGUCAAGUAUUGAAGAGCUCCUACAAGACUUCGAUACAACGUAGGAUUGGAAUAAGGUUCCCCAUCCUCCUUCAAUAACCUGUUGUAAGGAAGACAUGGGGUAUCACACGGUUUGGCUUCAAUCAUUUCAGAUUUAACCAACAAAUCCUCAACAUAUUUGGUUUGGGACAGGAACAAACCAUGUGCAGUCUUAGUGAUUUGAAUCCCUAAGAAGUAGUGGAGUAGGCCUAAGUCCUUGAUAUCAAACUCAGUGGUGAGAGCACUAAUGACCUGUGUAAUUGCAUCAGAAGCAUUGCCAGUUAUAAUGAUGUCAUCCACAUAGAGAAGCAACACCACAAUUUCAUGACCAACAUGCUUAACAAAUAGAGAUGAGUCAGAAUAUGUGUUCUCAAAUCCCAAAGAAGGAAGAAACUGAGUAAAGCGGUCAUUCCAGGCCCGAGGAGCCUGCUUGAGACCAUAGAGAGAUUUAAUCAGCUUACACACCAGAGAAGGAUGAUUUGGAUCUUCAAAACCUGGAGGUUGAGACAUGUAGACCUCCUCUUGUAGAAGUCCAUGCAAAAACGCAUUUUUAACAUCCAACUGGCGAAGAGACCAAUUAAACUGAGCAGCCAGAGCAAGAACUAACCGUACAGUAGUAGGUUUCACUACAGGGCUAAAAGUCUCCCCAUAAUCCAAUCCGGGUUCUUGACUGAAGCCCUUAGCAACUAACCGGGCUUUGUGUCUUGCAAUAGACCCAUCUGAGUGUCUCUUAAUCUUGAAAAUCCAUUUACAGCCAACCAGGUUCUUGUUUGCUGGUAAGUGAACUAGACUCCAAGUGCCUUGAGCAUGUAAAGCAUUAACUUCUUCUUUCAUGGCUGCUAACCACACAGGUACUUUGAUGGCAGACUUAUAACUAGCUGGUUCCACCAAGGAUAGAUCAGUGCCCCCAGAAUCCUGAACACUGGCUAAGAGAGCCUUCUUUUUGAAAAUCCCACUUUUGCUUCGGGUUUGCAUAGGAUGCAAAUUAAGUGGAGGAAUGGGCAACACUACUGACAGAGUAUCAGGAUUAAAAAUAGGUAUUUCUGAUGCAGAAGUGGAACUAAUAUCAGGUACCACAGGGAUCUGAGAAGAGACUUGGAUUGGAGCAGUAAUGGACUGAGAACUUGGAGAGACUUCAGGUAAAUCCAAGGCAGAAGGUUGAUGAGGUGAUUCUGGGAUAAAUGAGACAAUUCUAUUUUCGGGAAGUAACUAUAGGGGCAUGACAAUUGAAACUAGGAGAUGGAUAUACAACUCUAUGUGCAGUGGAAACUGUGUUGGAAGAUGCAGUCAAUAAAUCUGUGUAGGGAAAAUGUUGUUCAUCAAAGAUAACAUGCCUAGAAACAAACACUUUCUUUGUAGACACAUGAUGAUAGCAUAGAUAACCUUUAUAUUUUGUGGCAUACCCUAGAAACACACACUUUGUGGUUUUUGCUUGUAGUUUGGUACUAUUAUAGGGUUUGAGAAGGGGAAAACAAGCACAUCCAAAAAUUCGAAGAUGUGUAAGUAUUGGAUAUGUCCCAAAUAGGAUCUCAAAAGGAGAUGGGUUAUGAAGGACAACAGUAGGCAUUCGAUUGAUGAGAUAGGUGGCUGUUUGACAAGCAUAAGACCAGAACUGAUGUGGCAACUUGGCUGUUUGGAGCAGUGUGAUAGUGGUUUCAAUGAUAUGUCUAUGCUUCCUUUCAGCUACCCCAUUUUGUUCAGGGGUAUAGGGACAAGAUAAUAAUGAUGUGAAAUGCCUUUGUCAAGAAGAAAAUGUUUCAAUUUGAGACUGGUAUACUCUCCCCCCCCAUCAGAUUGAAGAAUUUUAAUUGAGGCAGAAAACUGAGUAACAACAAAGGAAUGAAAAGCAACAAACGUAGAGAACAAAUCAGACUUGUUUAUUAAAGGGAAAAUCCAGCAAUAUCUGGUACAUUCAUCUAUAAAGAUGGUGUAAUAUCUAUAACCAUCCACUGAUAUACAUGGUGCAGGACCCACAAAUCUGUAUGAAUAGUUUCAAAAGGAAUGACUGACUUCUUGACAUGCUUUGGAAAAGGGAGCUUGCUAAAUUUGCCUUCUAGACAGGUAUGACAUAGCAUAGGUAACGAGGAUUUGGGAACAGGUACAUUAGAUUGAUGCAACAUCAGAGAGACAACAUUAUUUGAUGGAUGACCUAACCUAUGGUGCCACAAAUCAGAUUGAACAAGUUGUCCAAGAAAGGCCUUAGCUUGAUUAUUCUUCUGGAAAUUGGAAGUGGACAAAGAGUGGAUAGGAUAUAGCCCAUUACUGCACAAGCCUUUGUAGAGGAUCCUCCCUGUGGUUUUGUCCUGAAUCCAAAAACAAAAAAGCAUCAAAUAUAAGCCAGCAAUUAUUGUCAAGGCAAAUGCGAUGUACUGACAACAGGUUCUGAGUUAAUUGAGGAACACAGAGCACAGAGGUCAAUUUGAUUGGAGAAACUGAUGUAUGAAUAGUAGAAUGACCAACAUGAGAUACUUUCAAACCUUCCCCAUUUGCAGUGUGAAUUGUUUCAUUUGAUGGAUAUGGUGAUGCCAGGGACAGAUUAGUCAAAUCAGCUGUCAUAUGAUUGGUGGCCCCAGAGUCCGUGAGCCACACUUGAGAAGGACCUGAAGAACUGGAUGACUGAGGUGCAGAGUUGUGCACUGUGUGUGCAUGGCUUGCAUAGGGGGUUGCGGUGCAUGAAACUGAGAAGGUGUGAAUGAGGAAUGCUGAGGAGGAGCUUGAUAGGAAUUAUACUGAACAGGCGGUGGUUGCAUAACAUAUGAUGACUGUGGAAACACAGAAGAAGGGUUAUGCAUUCCCAUGUAAUUGGGACCCUUAUCAUUAUGGAAGCAAUACCAAGUGGUAUGGUUACUUCGACCACAAAUGUGACAUUUUGUUGGCUCAUGUGAAGAGGCUCCACAGAAUGGGCAGUAUGUCCCGCAGAAUUGCACAACUGACAAAUGUGAGGCAUGGGUGCAGAAGGACGACCAAACGGUUGACCAGGAGAUGGACCAAGAACUCCAGGAUUAGAGGUAGGAAGCAUAUGUGCCAUGGGGGAAAACACUGGUCUAGAGUUAUAAAAUCUCGAGCCCUGAUUGAAACGACCUUUGCCCUUGUUCUUGUUCCCAUUAUAGGGUCUAAAGCCUCCAGUGACUGCCUGAGAUUGACCAUGAUGAGGAGAGAAACCCUGAGACUGAACCGAAAGCCCCUUUUGUGUAAGUGGAACCUGUAUUAGCAACCAUAGCUGUCAGAGAGAGGAUUAUGUACUGAAUUAUCAACAAUGAUUUCCUCUGCAAGUAACUGUGACCGAAAAUCUUUCAGUGAAAUCACACUUUCACGCCCCCUGAUAACACACCGGAAAGUGUUAUACUCAGCAGGUAAACCAUUCAAAGCAAGAAUAACAAUGUCUUCAUCCGCAAAAAAGACCCCAGCAGCAGACAAAUAGUCUCGAGCUUCCUUAAUGCGAUGAAGAUAUUGAGAAAUCGAAUCGGACCCUUUUUAAUAGUUUGCAAAUUGGAUUUCAUCUGAAAGAUGCUAGUCCGAGAAACAGUUGAAAAUUGUUCCUUUAACCUAAAACCACAGAUCCUUGGAGCUAGUACUACCAAUCGCACAAGACAUGGCAAUAGGAGAUAAAGUAGCAGUAAAUCAAUUGCAUAAUAGCUCGGUCAUGCAUUUUCCAUACUAUAUAUUCAUCAUUCAGAGAAGAAGAAGAGAUACCAGAUUCACCGGAUGACGAAGCAUAUUGAGAUGGACAGGCAAUCGAACCAUCAACAUACCCCAUGAUGCCAUUGCUAUCAAGCAAAGUUGCAUCUGGAAGUGCCAAUUGAGAUAGUUCGAAUCAUCAAGCUUGACAUUAACCGACGUAGAAAUGGAGGAAAUCAAGCCCGUAAUUGGAGAUUGAAGGAGUUGUAGUUGUGAAGCAGUCACCAUCGUGAAUUCAAGAUCAACUUGUCAGUGAGACAAUACAACAAACACAAGGUGUGCAGAAUUGAGCACGUACCAAAAAGAGCAAAAAGAACGAUAGGAAACCCUAGAAAUUGCAGAAAUGAGAAAUAGAAGAAGACGAAUUCGGAUCAAGAAAGAAGAAAGAAACCAAUCCGAAUCAGAGAAGGCGGAAGCAACAGAGGAUCGUAUCUUCAAGCGUAAGCAACAAUGGCGAUUGAUACCAUGUUAACCUAUAUCAGAUGAUUAACAUAUACUGUAAUCUUGUAUACUGAAUCAAGAACAGAGAAGAAAGAAAGAGAGACUCGAGAGAAGUUUAGGAAGAGAAGAACUAUAUGUUGUAUUUCUUACUGAUUAAGUAAUUACAUGAUGAGUUCUUAUAUAUAUACUAUUACAUAUAACAGCUAACUAACUAACUAUACUAGGAUUGUGACAAGUGUCACAAUAUUAAAACACUAUACUCUAACAGGUGCUAUCUUUGGAAAUCUGAGAUACCCUUGAAAACUGCUCUCCAACUGCUCGACGAAUUACCUGUAUGGACAUUGGGCUAGGUAGCUGCUAACUUCGUACUUUUGUAUGCAUUGUUAUGAGCAUUUGUCGAUAUGCUCACUAGGCGUACAUUAGCAUAUGCUGACAUGCUCACUAAAAAACCAUUGACAUUAGUUGACAUGCUCGUUCGGAAGUUGUUGGCAUUUGUUGACAGGUGCGGAAUAUGACUUGAUAAAUGACCCCGGGCCUACCAGAGCUUGAUGAAAUGCUAAUUUUCAUGUGAUUUCGUUCAAAAAGUUAUACACGCUGCUCGCGCUAGUCUUACUGAGGCCCCAAAAUAAUAUUUCUUGAAUCUGCCAAUGCCUACUGUUUGAUAACAAUUAUGGUCAUUUAACAUUUGUUGUUACUUUCUCUUCACAGGUAAAUUAAAAAUGAACAAUGAUUUCCUUAAAGCUUGGACUUUAGAAGAACUGGACCCAUGCAACUCCGGUGUAGUUUAGACUUCAGAUCAUUGCUACAAUUUGCCGUGUUUCAUUUCUUGAUAUGCAAUUCCAUGAAACCACAUUUUUUGUUACUGUGUCUCAUUGUCACCAACAAAACA